rnacentral:misc_RNA from 1 species
AUAGAUCCCAGGCGGCUUCCCCCCCAUCCUGCAAUAAUGGAGGAGCGUCUUGCUGUGCAACACCAAGACAUUCAAGGUUUAUUGGCUGAUAACCAGCGACUAGCUGCAACCCAUGUUGCACUUAAGCAGGAAUUGGAAGCUGCCCAGCAUGAGUUGCAACGGAUGGCACAUUUUGCAGAUUCAUUGCAUGUGGAGAAGGAUGUGCAGAUGAGGGAAUUGCAUGAGAAGUCUCUAAGGAUGGAGACAGAUCUUCGUGAGUUGGAGGCUAUGCGCAGUGAGCUUCAUCAUGUCCGUGCUGAUAUUAAGGAACUUAGUGAUGUGAGGCAGGAACUUACUGGUCGUAUACAGGCAAUGACUCAAGAUUUAGCUAGAUAUAAUGCAGAUUUGCAACAAUUACCAGCUUUGAAGGCUGAAAUUGAGAGCAUGAAGCAGGAAUUGCAGCGUGCACGAGCUGCUAUUGAGUAUGAGAAGAAAGGAUAUGCAGAAAAUUAUGAGCAUGGCCAGGUGAUGGAGAAGAAAUUGAUUGCAAUGGCUCGGGAGUUGGAAAAGCUUCGUGCAGAGAUUGCUAAUGCAGAGAAGAGAGCUCGUGCUACUGCAGCUGUAGGUAAUCCAGCUUAUACUGCAAACUAUGGCAAUCCUGAAGCUGGAUAUGCUGGUAAUCCUUAUCCUGUUGGCUAUGGCAUGAAUCCUGUGCAAGCCACUCCUGAAAAUUAUCCCCAAUAUGGAGUUGGACCUGGUUCCUGGGGUGCAUACGAUAUGCAGCGAACUCAAGGACACAGAUAGAUUGAUUUCCAAGUAGCUAAGAUGUGUGUUAAAUGGUAUCUUGGGCUGCAACUUAUUGGAUGCUUAAGUUUAAAUUUGAAAUUUUCUCAUGAUAUUUUUUAGGGAGACUCACUUUCUAUUUGGUUUGAUGAAGUUGUACCUGAAUACAAUGACAACUCAUAUUAUCUCGGGUGCAACUUCAUCAAACCAAAUAGAAAGUGAG